UAUAUUGUCAUCAAUCUCCUUUUGGUAAUAUAUUGUUGGAAUGAAUUCAUAAGUGCUUCACUGCUGCUACUCUUACUUUAGUGUUAAACAAUUAAGCCUUAAAUGUACAUUUUGUGAAUAGUGCUUGAAAUGGUUGUCCUUUAAAGUGACAGUGUCCUGUUCCUGGAUUAGCUAAUGUAGCAUACUUGAACGUUCAAAGCAGCCUGAAAGCUGUCAAAUGUGCAGUUUUUUGUUGUUGUUCUUUCGACCAGGUUGUCGUAGCAACGAUAAGCAUGACGCUCCAGAGUUACGCCCAAUAGAAAGGGAACAACUGAGGAUUUUAAAGUAGGCUACCUUCCAGCCAAUUCUCAGAAAUAACUCAGGAAUAACGUUUUUAGAGCCGGUGAAUUGGAAUCAAUGAAGUCACACAUGUAGCCUUUUUACGCAUUUUUUUCAGUGGUUCUAACUUGCAGUGUUUCCAAGGUCAACAGACCUCUCUGUACAUAGUAGCUGCCAGGUACUCUGAAGACACGCACAAGAGCUUGAUGUUGCCUUGACAAACUUCUUGAAUGCCGAGUCGUGGGGGCCUCAUUCCUGAACGAUAGUUCCAGGGCAGUAUGUCGUCGUUGUGUAUUGAUUUACUCGCGCGGUAUAUACCAAAUUGUGCUUUGAUACUGUCACUCUAAAGGAGCUUGCCGUCAUCGAACUCUGCUGUUUUCUCACCUUUUUACAUUCCUGCGUUGUUCUUUACCCCACCUUCCCAAAGGUUUUGUUUACCUCUAUGAAUAAUUCUCUAAAGCAGUGCCAUUUGAGCCGACGUGUGAUGACUGAGGCUUUGUGUGCGUGUGUGUGUGUGUGUGUGUGUGUGCGUGCUGUCAGGCCUGUGCACACGUCGGUGUGCGUUUAUGCGAGGCGUCGUCGCAUGUAAGUGAGAUUGUGCAGUGUUGCUGCUUCUGUCACCGGGCUGCAGAACUUCAUCCAGAUGAUGCACCUGCCAUUUACAGUUCUCCUGGUUCUGGUUCCUCCGCGCAUGCACAAGAGGAAGAGGGCCACAAGAGGGAGCUGUGGAUCCGUGUACCUAUGUCACGAGUCCUCAGCAAAUUGAAAAGGAUUUCAUUAAUUUCGUUGUUUUUAAAGUUCAUAUCAAUUUUGAAGAAUGCACAGUGCUGUUAAUAAAAUGGUAAGCAAGAGGCA